rnacentral:rRNA from 1 species
UGGGUUUUUCGGGGAUUUCUGGGGGCGUAAAGCGCACGCAGGCGGUUGGAUAAGUUAGAUGUGAAAGCCCCGGGCUCAACCUGGGAAUUGCAUUUAAAACUGUCCAGCUAGAGUCUUGUAGAAGGGGGUAGAAUUCCAGGUGUAGCGGUGAAAUGCGUAGAGAUCUGGAGGAAUACCGGUGGCGAAGGCCGCCCCCUGGACAAAGACUGACGCUCAGGUGCGAAAGCGUGGGGAGCAAACAGGAUUAAAUACCCUGGUAGUCCACGCCGUAAACGAUGUCCAUUUGGAGGCUGUGUCCUUGAGACGUGGCUUCCGGAGCUAACGCGUUAAAUCGACCGCCUGGGGAGUACGGCCGCAAGGGUAAAACUCAAAUGAAUUGACGGGGGCCCGCAAAACGGUGGAACAUGUGGUUUAAUUCAUGCAACCCGAAAACCUUACCUGGCCUUUGAAUGCUGGAUCCUGUAAAAUUCGGGAGUGCCUUCGGAACAGAAACAGGUGCUGCAUGGCUGUCUCAGCUCGUGUCCUGAGUUGUGGGUAAGUCCCGCAACGAGCGCACCCUUGUCUUUGUUGCCAACACGUAAAUGGGGGGACUCAGGGAAACUGCCGGUGAAUAACCGGAGA